GGGCAUCGAUGUGCUAGAGCUACCUUGUUACGACUUCCACCCCAGUCAUGAAUCCUACCGUGGUAAUCGCCCUCCUUACGGUUAGGCUAACUACUUCUGGUAAAGCCUCCCAUGGUGUGACGGGCGGUGUGUACAAGACCCAGGAACGUAUUCACCACGGCCAUGCUGAUCCACGGUGCAGCGUUCCGACUGCACCGGUCGAGUUGCAGACUGCGAUCCGGACCACGAUCGGGUUCGGGAUUGGCUCCCCCUCGCGGAGUUGGCGACCCUCGUCCCGACCAUUGUAUGACGUGUAAAGCUACCCAUAAGAGGCCAGCUGAGGACUUAAUGGCGUCAUCCCAGCUAUGGUUUGUCGCAGCAGUCUCGUUAGUGCCUUUCCUUCAACUAAUGACGGGGUUGCCUUUCGUUGCGGGACUUAACGCAUCUCCACGACACGAGCUGACGGCAGCCAUGCAGCACCUGUGUUCCAGUUUCUCUGCGAGCACUCCCCGUCUCUUCGGGAUUCAGACAUCAAGGGUAGGUAAGGUUUUCGCGUUGCAUCCGUUGUCCGCAUCAUCACCCUUACGUGCGGGGUCCCGUCAAUUCUUUGUUUCCAAUCUUGCGAUGUGCUCCCCAGGCAGGUCAACUUCGCGAUAGCUGCUUUCAAAGGCCCGAGAGCCCCAACAGCAUGGUGACAUCGUUUGGGGCGUGGACUACGGGUAUCUAAUCCUGUUUGCUCCCCGCGCUUUCGUGCAUGACUCAGUGUUAUCCCAGGAGGCUGCCUUCGCCAUCGGUGUUCCUCCGCAUAUCUACCGCAUUUCACUGCUACACGCAGAAUUUACACCUCAUGACACACUCUGGCUCAGUGUUAAAAAUGGUUCAGGUCUGGUUCCAUCUUUCUUUCCAGACACGCCUGCCUGCGCUUUGCCAGUAAUUGGUCGCUGCCCGCCCACAUGUUACCGCGGCUGCUGGCACGUGGUUAGCCGGUGCUGUUCUGCAGGUACCGUCAGUUGCGCGGGUGUUAUCCCGUGCCGUUUCUUUCCUGCCAAAAAGUGCUUUUUACAACCGAAGGCCUUCAUCGCACGCGGGAUGGCUGGAUCAGGGUUCCCAUUGUCCAAAAAUUCCCCGCUGCUGCCUCCGUGGAGUCUGGUACGCGUCUCCAGUCCCGGUGUGGCUGGUCAUUCCUCUCGUCCUUCCGGAUCGUCUGGCCAAGGUGAGCCGUUGCCCCCACCAACUAGCUAAUCCGAUAUCUGACCGCUCUAAUAGUGCGAAGGGCCGAGAUCUUGCUCGAAGGGGCGUGUGCGGUAUUAGCUACGCUUUUUCGCGUGAUUAUCCCCCGCUACUGGGCGUUCCGAUACAUUACUCACCCGUUCGCCACUCGCCACCAGACCGAAGUCCGUGCUGCCGUUCGACUUGCGUAGUAUGAGCAUCCACCCAGCGUUCCAAUCUGAGCCAGGAUCGAACU
rnacentral:rRNA from 1 species